rnacentral:rRNA from 1 species
AUAAUCUGCGAUAAGCGCCGGUAAGGUGAUAUGAACCGUUAUAACCGGCGAUACCCGAAUGGGGAAACCCAGUGUGUUUCGACACACUAUCAUUAACUGAAUCCAUAGGUUAAUGAGGCGAACCGGGGGAACUGAAACAUCUAAGUACCCCGAGGAAAAGAAAUCAACCGAGAUUCCCCCAGUAGCGGCGAGCGAACGGGGAGGAGCCCAGAGCCUGAAUCAGCAUGUGUGUUAGUGGAAGCGUCUGGAAAGGCGCGCGAUACAGGGUGACAGCCCCGUACACAAAAGCGCAUGUGCUGUGAGCUCGAUGAGUAGGGCGGGACACGUGGUAUCCUGUCUGAAUAUGGGGGGACCAUCCUCCAAGGCUAAAUACUCCUGACUGACCGAUAGUGAACCAGUACCGUGAGGGAAAGGCGAAAAGAACCCCGGCGAGGGGAGUGAAAAAGAACCUGAAACCGUGUACGUACAAGCAGUGGGAGC